GAAUGCUGCUCACCGCUUCUGGGAGGAAUAUUCACACGGCCGGUGGAACACAGACUCUAGAGUGAAGUACUAUCAUUCAAGAAAACAACAAGCUGAAAUGUAAAAAGAAGGAUUUCUAGUUUUCGGACCUCAGGUUUCCAUGUGGGACGGCUUCCUGUAGAGUAACACACCUGCUCUCUCUCUCCACAUCUCACUUAUUCUCUUUCCUUACAUAAAUGAAUUGUAUAUUGUAUUGGGGGGGUUCAAAGAAAUAUUUGGGCAUGAUUAGCCCAUCUUGUAGUGGAUUAAAUACUGUGGGGGAAUAAAGCUCUGCUGUCCUAAGCCAUCAAGUUCAUGGUGAUUUGUUACAACAACCCUGGGAAACAGCUCCAUCAUCUUUCUUUUUGGAUCAAGGUCUGUCUUCAAGAAGCAUACGUGCUGGUCUGUUCUCUGCCACGUGGUCAUCUAGCUUUGUCUAUGAGGAGUGUUGAAUCUGUCUAAUUCAGGUUCAGCAAUUAAUUUUCCCAAAUGCAAUUAAUUAUCAUUUAAUAUAUAAAACAUGUAAUAAUAAUGGCUAAUGUUCCAAUGUAACUGAUUUUCGUAACAAAAUGGAUAUAGUUUCUAAUCAAACUGAACAGAAAAGUGUUGUCUAGAAGAAAGCCCCUACCUUGGAUGCUUUUUCAUCAUAGUUUGUGUCUCCGUUCUCUCUUUAUAACUUGUGGGACUACAAAGCAGGCCUUUCAAGUGUUAGUGAAUUUGUGAGGGAAAAUCAGUUUAAAAAAUGUAGCAACGAUAUGUACGUUCUCAGUUCUACAAGGAGAAAUGAUUCUAUUCUGCUGCCCUCCUCAGGGGAAAUGGCAAAGGUGAAAAAUGCGAAGGAUGCAGCAGGCAUUGUUAGCUUUGUAAACUGACAUGUCGAAUUCCCUACUUUGCUGUACAUUUUCUCCUCACUUUCUCUGUAGUUGAUUGGAUGAGAAAGUACCUGUCCUGGCUUCAGACACUAAAUAAGCUGGAGAAACUGUUGAAAAUACUGUCUUAAAGUAUACAUGUACCAUGUUAUAAUACUUGAAAAUAUGAAGACACAUAUACAUUUAUUUAUAUAUAACAUUAGUAAAUAUAUUGUAAAGAUAUACUAUUAUAUGUACUUAUAUUUGUAAAUGAAUACAGCCUAUUAUUUUAGUGAAAUAUUAAAUUUCCACUUGCAUUUUAUCUUACUAGUUAUGUUCAAACUAAAGCUUAAGCAUGCUUUCUGGUUCAUGCGAUUCUGAAUAAAAAGUUUCUCAGUGGUAAAUAACUCACCAAAAAUAGUUCUGCCUCUAUUAAAGCACCAUCACACUGUAUUACAGGUAUUUAUUCAUCUGAUUUCCCCUUCUUAAGAGAAAUAAGGGACAAUGUUUUGUCUCUAUAAUUUAGUUUUAUCCCUUAGAGCCUACCAUAAAGUGGGUGUUGAAAACUUUGUAAGUUUUAGGGGAAAAAAAAUGAAUGGAUUAAUGAUGUCAGCAAACUCUGUUUCCAAAUAUCUUAACUGCUUCCAGAGCUGUUGAUAUUAAAUGUCUUUAAAAUUUGUUAAUGGAAUCCAAUAUUAUCCUCCACUCUCCACUAACUCUCCAAAAUUUGAAUACCAGCUAGUGACAGAAUGAGAGUCACCAUUUCAAUGGCACUUCUAUUCAUCGACCUUACAAAUAAGACCUCAUAUUCACUAAGAAUGCACUCACUGUAAGGUGAGUCACUUAAUCCUGACUGAAUACCAGGAAGAAGGAUUACAAAAGUUAUUGUGCCAGUAAUGCUAUUGUUUGUCCACUUGCUGUGACCUAAAAUGUUUUCAUUUAUGAAGGACAAGUGGGGGAGGCUAAAACUGGCAUAAUGCUUUCAUAUAUGAUCCUAUUUAAAGUGAAGAAGUCCCUGCUUGUAAAUUUCAUGGGACACAACUGAGGGAAAUAGUCUCUGUAAGGAAAUUCAUUUCCAAAACAGAUGUACAUUUAACUAUGAGCAUUAUCUGCUAAAGGGAGGCCUCAUCAUGAAUCUGUGGCAGAUUUGUUCUUACUAAUGCUUACAACAAACAAGGAUAGACUGCCAGGUGACCUAACAGGGACUGACUAGUUCAUGUCUUCUCAGCAAAGACCCAGAACUGUGCACUGAGAGAAUGACAGGGAUAAUCAGAUAAGCACAUUAUUUGGAGAUCUGAAAGCAGGAUAAUUUGAUUGGGGCUGGAAUCGAAUAGUUACAUAGGAUAGUAAAAUGAAGGAUAUUAGCUGACCAGGGGCAAGUCAUCUAGGAAAACCAGGAAAUGAGAACAUCAGAGUUGCUCAGAAACCAUACACAGAGGAUUUAAGGGGAUUUCUAUGAAUGACAGCUGAAUAUGGUAUAAAAUGAUGGCUAAGCUACCUACACAAAUACAGAUACAGCCUAGUAUGAUCAGGGUAAAAUAAUGCUGAGACUCUUAUGGGUUAUCCCACCCCUUUCGGGUCCUGCAGAAGUGUCACAAUUAUGUAGUCUUAUCUCAAUCAGCAGACUAACCUUCAUGCCAACCCCAUAAAAAGUCACACCUGACUCCCUUUGUUCUUAGUUCUGCCUCGAGUCCUUACACUGACCCAACACCCCUUCACCUUCCAGUUCUGUUCCUCAUGUUUCUGACCUCUGACCUUGUGACUCCUUUUCCGAUGAUAGUUCCAACUGUUUCCAGACUUAACCUCAGCAUUGCUGCCAAUGGUAUUUUUGUUUUGUUUUGUUCGUUACCGAGAGAUGGAUUUCUUCUUUGUCUCAGCUGCCAUGAGUUACUCUGUAAAUAACCUGAAUGAUCCAGCCAAGAUUUGAGACCUUGUCUAUCACCACAUACCCUUGAAGACAGGUGUACAUGAUAUUUUCAGAGGAACCAGAUCAUGAGAGAACACUCAAAUUGGAGACAAUUUCUGGGUAGAACUUCUAACUUCAAACCUGAGCCCCACAUUUAUUAUAGUGAUAAGGAUAUGGUAAAGACACCUUUCAAUAUGGCAAAAUUUCUACAUGUCUGUUCUCACAGGAAGGUCCAAAGCUCAUUUAGCUCUUCAAAUUAAUACAUAAUCUAUAAUCAUUUUGCUCCUCAUAUCUGGAUGGGAAAGAUGUUUAAUGGAUAAAUAAGAAUGUUUCUGUUUGUUGGUCUCUUUAUACGUCAUAGGAAAGGGUGCUUUUUUACUCCAACUCAAUCUUUUCUUGGUAUUGUUAUCAAUCAUGUUUGGAUCCCCCAACUUCAUAUUCUUGAAACUUUUAAAAAAUACCUUCCUGAGAAUUUGGAUGAGAGGCAAAAGUCAAGUGUGGGGAAGUCAAGAUCUAUCUCAGACCAAGUGUUGGUGUCAAUCAUCACAAGACUUUUGAGGUCAUUUGAUUUCAUUCCUUCCAGAAAAGCCACUGUUUCCAUUCAAAUUCCUGCCAGCCAGUUUUUCAGCCUCUGCUUGCACUUUACAAGUAUCAUUUUUCUAGAUUAUAAUUCACUUUUCACGUUCACCAUGGAGUAAAUGGUAGAGAAAAGAGAUGGGAAAGAUCACAUGCUUCAGUCCUGAAACAUGAUCAACCACGGAAACCCAGGGGCCUUAUUGAUUUAGUAUUAGUUUGAGGGGAGGGACCUUACUGGGUGUGUCUUUAACACAGAUAUUUUAAGUGUGACAAAAAGAUCUUGGAAUGGACAAAAUGUAAUAUCUAUGAAUUGUUGAUCAUGGUUUACUGUGUCAAGCACUGUGCUAGGUACAUACGGCAUGCAUUAACUCAUUUAUUCUUGAUAAUUCUGUGUUUAUCCAUCUUGCAAAUGAAAAAACAGUUUGUUAUACAUAAUGCACUUACUCAAGGUUACCAAGCCAGUAAUGGAUAGUCCCAUGUUCUUUAAACUCAACACCAAGCUCGUGCUCUCUCGCUGGAGCGAUAGUAGAUGAAAUCUCUCAUUUACUAGCCUUAAGACCGCUGAAUGGAACUGGAGUUUACAUGAUUUCCUUGAAUACAAGCAUCUGCUCCAAUGGCUUCUAAAUAAUUUACUCCCCAAAUUACACAUUUUUCAUUGCCUAAGAUCAUCGAAUUCUCAAAAUUUAGACCCAAAGUUCCACUGAAACCACAGAAUCUUAUCUGUUGACUGCUCAUGUUUUCUUAAUCCUACUGAAUACUAUUCUGACCUCCAAUUCCUUGAAAUCCCUCGUUUUCUUUUCACCUAUGCCCUUAUGUAUCUUCACUUUCUUUUCUACUGAAGUUGAAUCCACUCACCCAUCUCCACAUGUGCUCUUUCACCAAAAACUUUUCUGUGGUAUCCCUCUGCCUCUCUAUUUUGCCAGUUCAGUUCUCAAUUAAUCACUGCUUGCUCUAACACUGUUCAGAAAACCAUACCACCUUUCUAACUGUAUCAUGGCAAGGAUCUAGGAUCCACCAGCACCCCUGAGAGGGUUGUUUUGUUUUUGUUUUUGUUUUUUGUGUGUGUGUGUGUGCUCUCCUACUUACCUUCCUUUCGCAUGUCUCAUAGUGUUUCUUCCAAACUCUAAUUAUUGUUAUUGGUUCCUUAUUCCAAGCCUGCCUUAUUCUUAGUAGAAGAGCUUGUUUCCUAAUUUCCAGAGAAAAUAGAAGACUAAGGCCCUUCCCCCAUGUACUUGUGUCAGUCACCCUAAGUAUCUACAAGACUCACUCCCUCACCUCUUUUAAGACAUGUCUUCCCCCCACCCAAUUCCAACCACCCUAUUUAAAUUAAAAGCAUCUUCUUCCUCGGCUGACUUGGUCCUCAGGUUUCUUCUUAAAGCAAUCACUUUCUAACACACUCUCUCAUAUAUAUAUAUAAAUAAACAUAUAUAUAAUGUUUAUUGUUAUUGUUUAUCUCCACCAGGUAGAAUAUAAGCUCCCCUGGAAGCUUUGUCUAUUUAGUACACUGAUGUACUUCAAGCACCUAAAACAGUACCUGGCUUGUGGUAGGGACCAGUAAAUAUUUGUUGGGUGAAUGAACAAAUAUGCACAAAUAUUUUGGUCCCUCACUUUCUUCCCUCUCAUAGGAAGAGGUUACUUUACCCAUCUCUAUGUAUGACAAAUCUGGAUAACUGCUACUGCAGAAAAGAUCGGGAAGAUGAUAUAAUUUGCUUGUUUACAUCUAAAUUAUGACUUUAUAAGAGAGCACUAAGGUUGCAUACUUGACAUCCAGUACAAGAAAUUUUCCCCUGUCAUUCCUUUUUCUACCUAACUAGGUCAAGGGCAGCAAAUGCAUUUGCUGACUCCCUCACCUCUGAUUAUCUCUCAGUAAAUCUGGACCAAACACAUAUCACUGCUGUACUCAAUCUCUGUCACUAAAUACACUUCCAAAACAACUGGCCUCCAGGUUGACCCAAAGGAACUGACUUCUGCUGUAUUUCAUUUUCUGUGAUAGCUUUGGCCAAUGUCUUUUGUCAAUACAAGUGAAUUUUGUGCUGAUUAUAGUCUACCAGAGACUUCAUUGACACCAGCAAGUACAUUUCUCUUUGGAACACAAGUCAAACUUGUGUUAAAGUCCCCAGUGAACAAGAAUAGUUGAGUGUAGAGCAGUAAUGUAAUCGACUAUUAUCCCCUUUGGCUAAAAACUGUUCACAUGGAAUCCACAGCCUGCAAAAUACAAUGCAAACACAUGCUAAUUACCUAUUUCCUGGGAUAAAAUAUGAUUAUAAAAAAUACUCUGUCAAGUAGACUGUAACUACAAAUACUGCAUUCCCAUACUUUGUCAGAGAACCCUUCUUAGAAGAUCUACUGCCUAUACCCUGAGGGCGUAAGUCCCACCGAACAAAUACAUCUUUUGGUAAUAUUUGAAAAUGUUAUUAUGGCCUGCCUUCUCAUUGUCCUUAAAAACAAACAAAUAAAACACAGUAGUUGUGUUCAGUCUAGUUUUGUGGUUGUCUUUAAUCCUUUUGUUGAUUCCUAUCUUUACCUGAAGUUGGUUUCAUUUUGUCUGUGCCAAAAGAUCUUUUUGAUUUUUAAGUCAAAUAUUGUAUGAAGUAGAAACAUGAUUAUGUGUUUUUUUGUAAUACUCUAUAUUUUUUUAAAAAAAGAGCAAUGAUUCAAUCUGCAACCUUUAUGUGUUGCUUAAAAGGAAUGAGGGCCAUCUGUUUGUCUGCUAUGAGGGUAAGGGAUUGAAGCAAUUUGUGGUUAAAUAAAUUAGGUGUGGAAUUGCUUUCUUUAUUGUUUCCACUGAACAAGUCUUUUCUAGCUUUUUUUUUCCUCUUUAAAUAAACUAUUGGAUUAGAGACCCCACUUCACUUAGACUAUGACAAGGCUAAACUAAGAGUCAAUUUCCAAAUCACAAAUGGAUUUUGUCAUUAAAAUAAAUGCAUUCCUAGAGUUCCUUCUGUGGCUCGGUAGUUAGUGAACCCAACUAGUAUCCAUGAGGAUGCAUGUUCAAUUCCUGGUCUCACUCAGUGGGUUAAGGAUCUGGCCUGGCUGUGAGCUGUGGUGUGGGUUGCAGAUGUGGCUCAAAUCCCAUGUUGCUGUGGCUGUGGCUGUGGCAUGGGCUGGUAGCUUCAGCUCUGAUUGGACCCCUAGCCUG
rnacentral:lncRNA from 1 species